rnacentral:rRNA from 1 species
CCUACGGGGGGCAGCAGUGAGGAAUAUUGGUCAAUGGACGAGAGUCUGAACCAGCCAAGUAGCGUGAAGGAUGACUGCCCUAUGGGUUGUAAACUUCUUUUAUAUGGGAAUAAAACGUUCCACGUGUGGGAUUUUGUAUGUACCAUAUGAAUAAGGAUCGGCUAACUCCGUGCCAGCAGCCGCGGUAAUACGGAGGAUCCGAGCGUUAUCCGGAUUUAUUGGGUUUAAAGGGAGCGUAGGUGGAUUGUUAAGUCAGUUGUGAAAGUUUGCGGCUCAACCGUAAAAUUGCAGUUGAAACUGGCAGUCUUGAGUACAGUAGAGGUGGGCGGAAUUCGUGGUGUAGCGGUGAAAUGCUUAGAUAUAACGAAGAACUCCGAUUGCGAAGGCAGUUCACUGGACUGCAACUGACACUGAGGCUCGAAAGUGUGGGUAUCAAACAGGAUUAGAUACCCGAGUAGUC